GCUGCCCUGGCAGCACUUAUACUAAAAUUGGAAUGAUACAGUGAAGAUUAGCAUGGCCCCUGCACAAGGAUGACAAGCAAAUUCGUGAAGCAUUCCAUAUAUUU